rnacentral:rRNA from 1 species
GAUGAACGCUGGCGGCGUGCCUAAUACAUGCAAGUCGAGCGAACGGACGAGAAGCUUGCUUCUCUGAUGUUAGCGGCGGACGGGUGAGUAACACGUGUAUAACCUACCUAUAAGACUGGGAUAACUUCGGGAAACCGGAGCUUAUACCGGAUAAUAUUUUGAACCGCAUGGUUCAAAAGUGAAAGACGGUCUUGCUGUCACUUAUAGAUGGAUCCGCGCUGCAUUAGCUAGUUGGUAAGGUAACAGCCUACCAAGGCAACGAUGCAUAGCCGACCUGAGAGGGUGAUCGGCCACACUGGAACUGAGACACGGUCAAGACUCCUACGGGAGGCAGCAGUAGGGAAUCUUCCGCAAUGGGCGAAAGCCUGACGGAGCAACGCCGCGUGAGUGAUGAAGGUCUUCGGAUCGUAAAACUCUGUUAUUAGGGAAGAACAUAUGUGUAAGUAACUGUGCACAUCUUGACGGUACCUAAUCAGAAAGCCACGGCUAACUACGUG